AGGUCAGCAUACUGCGGUGAAUACGUUCCCGGGCCUUGUACACACCGCCCGUCACACCAUGGGAGUGGAAUCCGCCAGAAGUGGGUAGGGUAACCGUAAGGAGCCCGCUUACCACGGUAGGUUUCAUGACUGGGGUGAAGUCGUAACAAGGUAGCCGUAGGGGAACCUGCGGCUGGAUCACCUCCUUU
rnacentral:ncRNA from 1 species